rnacentral:rRNA from 1 species
GAUGAACGCUGGCGGCGUGCCUAAUACAUGCAAGUCGAGCGAACAGAUGAGGAGCUUGCUCCUCUGACGUUAGCGGCGGACGGGUGAGUAACACGUGGAUAACCUACCUAUAAGACUGGGAUAACUUCGGGAAACCGGAGCUAAUACCGGAUAAUAUAUUGAACCGCAUGGUUCAAUAGUGAAAGACGGUUUUGCUGUCACUUAUAGAUGGAUCCGCGCCGCAUUAGCUAGUUGGUAAGGUAACGGCUUACCAAGGCAACGAUGCGUAGCCGACCUGAGAGGGUGAUCGGCCACACUGGAACUGAGACACGGUCCAGACUCCUACGGGAGGCAGCAGUAGGGAAUCUUCCGCAAUGGGCGAAAGCCUGACGGAGCAACGCCGCGUGAGUGAUGAAGGUCUUCGGAUCGUAAAACUCUGUUAUUAGGGAAGAACAAAUGUGUAAGUAACUAUGCACGUCUUGACGGUACCUAAUCAGAAAGCCACGGCUAAUUACGU